CGAGCAGCUGGUGGGAGAUUAUUCACAUGUCACCAUGAGGUGAGACACACACAUAAACGCACGCGUGUCAAACAUAUGUUGGACAGCUGACUGUUAAAUAGUGUCAGAUAUUAUGACAGUACAAUGAUUUGAUUUCAGAUUAAACUUUGAUAACUCGGCAUAUCGUUACAUUCAGAAAGAGGAUGAAGAGGAGCAGGAGAUUUUCCCCAUCACCAGUGACUUUUUCUUUGAAGUUUUUCCCUUCAACAUUGUGUUCAGACAGGUCAUCCUGCUCUCCUCUCUUCUCCAUCUCCUCUUCCUCUUUCUUCAUCUCCUCUCUUUUCCACACUCGUCUUCUCUCUUCUCCCUUACUCGCAUGUCGUCUUCUUAUGUUUGUCAACUCCUCUUUUCAAGCACACUUAUAUUGUCUUCUAACAUCUAUGUUUUUGUCCAACAGGACAUGGUUGUGCAUAACGUAGGCUCUGGAUUGGCCACCAUGUUUCCUGACCUGGAUGGCAAGAAGAUCAAUGAUGCUUUUUUACUCGCUCGUCCUCUUGUGGAGUUCCAUGUAGAUGUAGAGUUCCUUGUGGAGAGAUGCGUCCAUGUAGAUGAAACAGAUUUACAUUUACACAAUCAAGUCUUAAUAGCACAUGCACUAAAAUUAUCUCCCACCCCAACAAUCUGUUUGAGAUCAUGUUGAAAGACCCUGUGAAGAGAGAAAGGAAUCUUCAUAACAGAGUACAGAACUCCGAUUAUGAGAACGCAAACCGCACGGCAGAUGUUGAUGUGGAGCUGAUGGCUUUUCAGUCAAUCAUAUUAUUAUGAUUAUAAAUAUGGAAACAAUGCUAAAGCCGCUGGAAGCCGCUGUCUCAAACUCAAGGACCAGAUGAGAUACAUGCCUGAGUGGGAAUCCAUCAUCUUCUUGGGGACGCCAGUAUAAAAUUUGCACACACAAACAUACAGACACAUACAGUGAGACUUGUCUUAUUUGCUUAACCUGGUUUUAAGAAUGAAUUAAUUACAAAAUUACGUUUACUCAACCUUUAGCCAUCCUCAAGCUGUUUAUGACUUUAAGGCUGACCUCCGACCCAAUGUUACAAAAACGUAAAGGUGUUGUGUGUGUAAAUUUUAGCAGCAUAUAGACGGUUUGUGCUGUAACAACAUAAACAAGCUGCUGUCGUGGUCUGCACGUAACUUCCGGUAAACUCCGCUAAGAAUAAAUAACAACAAAGUUCUUUAAACGUAGUUUAUUUAUAUACCAAGCAAAAAAACAACACAUAGAUUACAAAGGAAACCAAAACAUUUGUUAUUUUCGACGAGGCAUUUGUUCAAGAGAUCCGUUUAGCAACUAGUCAGACCAUUAAAAAAAACGAAACCGGAAGUAAAGUUCAGAUCCAGACGUGUAUCGUGUCAGCGCACGAUUGUCCGAUGAAACCGUCUAUAGUGAUGGGAUUGUCUAAUGGGGCGUACACACCAAGUGCGAAUUCAACUAUUUGUGCGAGUAAAUUACAUACAAAGUCAACGCAAAUACGUGCAAUCUCGCGCAGGUGAUGUGAAUGAUGUGUAUUGGGCGACGCGGAAAAAAAACUCGCUAUUCGCCUCAAAUGCGUCUUCGUGCAACAUUCACAUGACACAAAGUUAAAUCCUGUGAGUAAUCUAGAGCGAUGCGUUUGGUGUGUACGCAGCAUAAGACAACGUACUGUAGUAACAAAACCAUAGACUGUAAAAAAAGAUGGACGACGCGACGUCGCGUCUUCGCCUCCUUCCAUUGUAAUGAAUUGAAGCCAAAAAUGUCAGACCAUUUUUAUUUAGAGCAAAGUCCCAUUCGUUUGAAUGGGGGGGGGUUAUGACUUGUACUGCAGCCAGCCACCAGGGGGCGAUCAAAGGGCCAGCGGCUUCACUUUGUUUUAUUUUAUUUUAUUUAUUUUUAUUUAUUUAACCUUUAUUCAACCAUUUAAAACAUGUGAGGAAACCUGUGGUGUUUGUAGAUAAAAACGACACAUUGUUAGGUAAUAAAAACAAUACAGUUCAUUAUGUAAGGUCUUUAUACACCACUGAUCAUAUAGUUAUGUAUAUUAUAUUGCAUUUCUGUUAAGUUGUAAAAUGCACAUAUCAUCAACCCGAUGUGAAAAAUCCAUUAACAUAGUGAAACAAACCAAUGUGUGUGUUUGUCAGGCUUGUCUACAUAGUGUGAAGCAGCAAUUAUUUCAUAAUAAACAUACCAAAUAAUAUCUUCAAAUCUAAAAAGGCAGAUUUAUCUGCAGUCUGGAGGAUAGAAAUUUAAUCAGCACAGUAUGAAAUCAAUAACGGUCAACAGAAAGCCCUGACUGUGACAGGAAAUUAAAUGUGUGUGUGUGUGUGUGUGUGUGUGUGUGUGUGUGUGUGUGUGUGUGUGUGUGUGUGUGUGUGUGUGUGUGUGUGUGUGUGUGUGUUUGUGUGUGUGUGUGUGUGUGUGUGUGUGUGUGUGUGUGUGUGUGUGUGUGUGUGUGUGUGUGUGUGUGUGUGUGUG